GGAAAUAUACCUGAACGCAUCACACACUUGAACAUACAAUAGAGUCGUCAUCGGACUUGAUUUAUUCUCAAAGGAAAGGGAAAACAUCGAUAAAACUCGGGGAAAUAAAAUUUGGGUAAGGAAGUCGGUUAUGCAAUGGGAAGGUAUUAGCACCCCUAACAUCUGUUGUACUCAACGAGAAUCGUUUGGAUUGUUCUAUGCUUGAAUGGGUGUUAUAUAUAAAGAUUACUCGCAAAAGAAUAAAGGAAAAGAAGUGAAUAGAUAGAGUGCUCGGUGAGGAUUGAGG
rnacentral:lncRNA from 1 species